UUAAACAACAACAAAAAAAAUCCCUUAUAUGUCCAAAAUAAUAUAGCUGAAUAACCACCUGAUACAGAAUUAUAUAUGUUGAUGAUGGUUUUAAUUGGUGGGGGGAGGUAUUAUUUGUAUUUUCUUCUUGUUAGUGUCAGAUGAGUGCUAAAGACCCCUCUUGUGCUGGGUGCAAAAUAUACCCUGUACAAAAGGAGCAUCUUGCCAUGGUUUCUAUCCUGAGCAGUGGAAAAGUUUCUUGUGUUUUUAAGGGACAAAAGAAACAGUAAUGUGUCUUUGGGCACUGUCUCAUGUGGGACAGUGGUUUUGGAGUGCAGACAGCUGAAGCUCAGCCACUCUCAGAACAUCACACUUAGAAGAGAGACUAGAAAAAGAUUUCUGACACUCAAGUGUGUUGCAAGGAGUUUCUGUAAUUUGUAACUUCAAUUCCCAUUGUUCUUAGUGCUAUCAUGACUACACAAAUGGUUCUGUACCCACUGCCUUUCUCCUUCGUGUUAUGAAGACCGGUGCCUUACACAGAGCUUCCAGAUGAAAAGAAGCUGGAGGCUCCUGCAAGUGGUGAGGGUGGUGGUUCCUGUGGGAGAGGACAGUGACCUUCCAUACAGAAGGGGAGGAGGAACUGUAGAAGGUGGAAGCUGCUUGGCCCCUGGCCAAAAGGGGGAGCUCAGAAGCUGCAAUGGUUGUCUUUUAGGAUCUGUCCUUCUCUUGCCCUCUGUACGGAACUGUCUUGGGUUGCAAUGCAAGAAGUAACCAAAACAUGAGGUGGUCCACUCAGAGGGAGGAGCCAAGCAUUCCUACCUGGAUAUCUUUCAAGACUCAGAGCACCAAAAGCAGCCUUUCUCCACUGGAUUCCCAGAGGAGAGACUGGACCUAUCUACACCACCACUAGACCUUCAGAAAAAAAAAUACGCCGUUCUAUAGGCUCACUGCUUCAACAUUAUCACAUCUGUCACUGCAGGAGGACUGCAGCCACCAUUUAAUCAGACUGCUACAAACA